UUACGGGAGGCAGCAGUGAGGAAUAUUGCGCAAUGGACGAAAGUCUGACGCAGCGACGCCGCGUGGGCGAUGAAGGCCUUCGGGUCGUAAAGCCCUUUUGGCAGGGACGAGUGAGGACGGUACCUGUCGAAUAAGUCUCGGCUAACUACGUGCCAGCAGCCGCGGUAAAACGUAGGAGGCGAGCGUUAUCCGGAUUCACUGGGCGUAAAGCGUGCGUAGGCGGUUGGGUAAGUCGGACGUUAAAGCCCCUGGCUCAACUAGGGGAGGUCGUUCGAUACUGCUUGGCUUGAGGAUGAGAGAGGAAAGCGGAAUUCCCGGUGUAGCGGUGGAAUGCGUAGAGAUCGGGAGGAACACCAGUGGCGAAAGCGGCUUUCUGGCUCAUUUCUGACGCUGAGUGCACGAAAGCGUGGGGAGCAAACGGGAUUAGAUACCCCGGUAGC
rnacentral:rRNA from 1 species